rnacentral:rRNA from 1 species
UUGAACGCUGGCGGCAUGCUUUACACAUGCCAGUCGAACGGUAACAGGCCGCAAGGUGCUGACGAGUGGCGAACGGGUGAGUAAUGCAUCGGAACGUGCCCAGUCGUGGGGGAUAACUACUCGAAAGAGUAGCUAAUACCGCAUACGAUCUAUGGAUGAAAGCGGGGGACCGUAAGUCCUCGCGCGAUUGUAUCGGCCGAUGUCAGAUUAGUUAGUUGGUGGGGUAAAGGCUCACCAAGCCAACGAUCUUUAGCUGGUCUGAGAGGACGACCAGCCACACUGGGACUGAGACACGGCCCAGACUCCUACGGGAGGCAGCAGUGGGGAAUUUUGGACAAUGGGCGCAAGCCUGAUCCAGCAAUGCCGCGUGCAGGAAGAAGGCCUUCGGGUUGUAAACUGCUUUUGUACGGAACGAAACGGCUCUGGUUAAUACCCGGGGAUAAUGACGGUACCGUAAGAAUAAGCACCGGCUAACUACGUG